UGACUGCAGAAGGAGCAGUUGCUGCAAAUCUGUCUGGAGCUGACACAAUUCCCUCUGAUUCUGUCUUGCCUCAACCACAAAG